rnacentral:rRNA from 1 species
GAUGAACGCUAGCGGCAGGCUUAGUACAUGCAAGUCGAGGGGCAGCAGGACUGUAGCAAUACAGUUGCUGGCGACCGGCAAACGGGUGCGGAACACGUACGCAAUCUACCCAAAACUGGUGAAUAGCCCUCCGAAAGGAGGAUUAAUACACCGUAACUUAUGGCGGUGGCAUCACCAUCAUAAUAUAGCUCCGGCGGUUUUGGAUGAGCGUGCGCCUGAUUAGGUAGUUGGCGGGGUAACGGCCCACCAAGCCUGCGAUCAGUAACUGGUGUGAGAGCACGACCAGUCACACGGGCACUGAGACACGGGCCCGACUCCUACGGGAGGCAGCAGUAAGGAAUAUUGGUCAAUGGACGCAAGUCUGAACCAGCCAUGCCGCGUGAAGGAUGAAGGUCCUCUGGAUUGUAAACUUCUUUUAUAGGGGAAGAAAUCCUGGUAUUCCUACCAGGUUGACGGUACCCUAGGAAUAAGCACCGGCUAACUCCGUGCCAGCCGCCGCCGUAAGAC